UCCAAAGGUGGUGAAGUCAUGGACCAGGAUCAUCCCUCCAUCCUGGGAUGCUGAGCCCCACAUCCUGCUGGGCACGGGAAUCCCCUCCAGCACUGGGAUGCUGCUCAUGGAUCCUCCUGGGGCUGAACCAACAGCAGGGACAAACCCCUGGAACUGCCAGAUAAACCCCUGGAAUGCUGCCAGCCCUCAGCAGAUGAUCAGGGAGCCUUUUAUCCCUUCCUCCUACAAAUUCAGUAACCGAGGAUGAUCUCUGUCCCAGAGGAUGCGUGUGCUGAAGGAGGAGCAGGAUCUGAUCCCAGCCCAGCUGCUCAGUCCGGGAGAGAGAUCCCAGCUCAGCUCGGAGCACAGAGGGAUUUCCCUUGGAAGUGAAAUUCAAACCCCAGCUGGCUUGGCUAAAAAUAAACUCCUUCAAACCUUUGGAUUUCAUUUAAAUAAA